CGACCGCCGUUUUGCAAAACGGCCAAGGCCACACGGACAGCCGGGUCGAAUGCCGA
ncrna:unclassified sequences Streptococcus sRNA SpF59 (ldcC RNA)